GGGCCUGCCCAGUGAUAUUUCAACGGCCGCGGUACUCUGACCGUGCAAAGGUAGCAUAAUCAUUUGCCCUAUAAUUAAGGGCUAGUAUGAACGGUCUAACAAGAAUGGGACUGUCUCUUUUAAAAUCCUUAGAAUUUGGUCUUUAGGUGAAGAAACCUAAAUUAUAUUGAUAGACAAGAAGACCCUAUCGAGCUUUAAAACAAUUAGUUAAACAAAUAGAUAACACUAACUUUAACUAAAAAUUUUGGUUGGGGCGACUAAGGAACAAACAAAGCUUCCUUAAUAAAUUCUACACUAAUAAGUAAUGAUCCAAAAUAUUUGAUUAAUAAAAUUAGUUACCGUAGGGAUAACAGCAUAAUCUUCUUCAAGAGUUCUUAUCGAAAAGAAUGUUUGUGACCUCGAUGUUGGACUAGGAUAUCCAAAAGAUGCAGAAGUCUUUAAAGGUUGGUCUGUUCGACCAAUAAAAUCCUACGUGAUCUAUCU
rnacentral:rRNA from 1 species